rnacentral:rRNA from 1 species
CCCAGGAGCCACAAGUGGCAGCCACUUUUAUUGGGCCUAAAGCGUCCGUAGCCUGUUUGGUAAAUUUCCUGUGAAAUCGUUAGGCUUAACCUAACGGUGUGCAAGAAAAACUGCCGAACUAGGGACCGGGAGGCGUCAGAGGUAUUCUUGAGGGAGCGGUAAAAUGCUAUAAUCUCAGGAGGACCCCCAGUGGCGAAGGCGUCUGACGAGAACGGAUCCGACGGUGAGGGACGAAAGCCAGGGGAGCGAACCGG